CAAUUUAGUAGGCGGCUCCAUUUGCUCUAUUCUGCAAUAGAUUGGGACCUUGAAUAUCCAACAAAAGAUAUGAGGCGCUACCCAUUUAUAUUUGAACACCUCGUGGAUUAGUUUGAAAGGUAGGAUCAAUUCAGAUUCGUUUUCUAUUCUGAUCUCGUUCGGAAAAACUACAAUAUUCGCUAUGUACGAGCCGACCUAUCCUAAUCCAGCCAAAAAAUAAAUCGGCGAUCUUAGACGGAUUCUCGUACUCAGUUUUUUCCAAUCUCGAUCUUAAAUUUCUUAUCGAACCGAACCUAAACCCAGUUCAUUCCUUAAGAAUGGAGGAUAUAGAAUUUCGGAAAAAUCGAUACUCCUGUUAUUCCUAUUUUCGAAUAAUUUAUAAGCGUCAAAAUGAAUUUUAUUGGAUUUCUCUAUUUUUUAUAAAAAAAAAAAAAAUUAUAAUUUUUUGUUUAUGAGUACACAAUGUUAAUGUUUUA